GCCAACAUUACUGCUGAUUCUUACUGUAUAUCAAUAGACAAUAGACACUGUGUUUGUGCGCAAUGCUCGUAUUUACCAUGUAAUGAAGAUCUGGCUAAUGCCGCAAUCUCUUGAUGGUAAGUGCUCUUCUCGAUUUUGGUAACAUUCAACGGUGUCUUCAACAUUUACCGUGAAGGAAAAAACAACCAUUAUAAAGGAUGACUCAUACACUACAUUAAUGAUGGAUGGCAAGCAGUGGAGGCUAUUAUACAGAUGUACUCGUACAUGCUAUGACUACCAAGAAAUCCUUUCAAACGGAUCUAAAGAGCACUCAUGUUUUCAAGGUAGAGAAAACGUGUUUUCAUUGUUUUUACACACUCACACACACACACACAACACACACACACACACACACACACACACACACACACACACACACACACACACACACAUUGCACUAUGAUAUGAAGGGCCAUUGAAAGAUAUUAUUGUGAAACUACAGAACAACCCCCCUCCUCUCUACCCUCCUCCCUUGGUCUGGUCUAUCCAUCCUCUACUCUACUCCAUUGGUGUGGUCUGUCAAUCCUCUCUACUCUACUCCCCCAGGUCUGGUCUGUCAAUCCUCUACUCUCUACUCUCAUUGGUCUGGUCUGUCAAUCUCUCUACUCUACUCCAUUGGUCCUGGUCUGUCAAUUCUCUCUACUCUACUCCAUUGGUCUGGUCUGUCAAUUCUCUCUACUCUACUCCAUUGGUCUGGUCUGUCAAUUCCUUCUCUACUCCUUGUCUGGUCUGUCAAUUCUCUCUACUCUACUCCCCUGGUCUGGUCUGUCAAUUCUCUCUACUCUACUCCAUGGUCUGGUCUUGUCAAUCUCUCUACUCUACUCCCCUGGUCUGGUCUGUCAAUCCUCUCUACUCUACUCCUUGGUCUGGUUUGUCAUCCUCUCUACUCUACUCCCUUGGUCUGGUCUGUCAAUCCCUCUCUCUACUCCCUCGGUCUGGUCUGUCAUCCUUCUCUAUUUACUCCCCU
rnacentral:lncRNA from 1 species